UCUCCGUAGGUGAACCUGCGGAGGGAUCAUUACUGAGUGAGGGCCUUCGGGCUCGACCUCCAACCCUUUGUGAACACAACUUGUUGCUUCGGGGGCGACCCUGCCGUUUCGACGGCGAGCGCCCCCGGAGGCCUUCAAACACUGCAUCUUUGCGUCGGAGUUUAAGUAAAUUAAACAAAACUUUCAACAACGGAUCUCUUGGUUCUGGCAUCGAUGAAGAACGCAGC
rnacentral:misc_RNA from 1 species